rnacentral:rRNA from 1 species
CCUACGGGGGGCAGCAGUGAGGAAUAUUGGUCAAUGGGCUUACGCCUGAACCAGCCAAGUCGCGUGAGGGAAGACUGCCCUAUGGGUUGUAAACCUCUUUUGUCAGGGAGCAAGAGGCGCUACGUGUAGCGUUAUCGAGAGUACCUGAAGAAAAAGCAGCGGCGAACUCCGUGCCAGCAGCCGCGGUAAUACGGAGGAUGCGAGCGUUAUCCGGAUUUCUUGGGUUGAAAGGGUGCGUAGGCGGAAGGCCAAGUCAGCGGUAAAAUCGCGGGGCUCAACCUCGCUCCGCCGUUGAAACUGGCGUUCUUGCGUGGGCGAGAAGUAUGCGGAAUGCGUGGUGUAGCG